rnacentral:rRNA from 1 species
AGUGGCGAAAGGGCGAGUAAUACAUUUCUACGUACCCUGAGGUCGGGGACAGCCCGGGGAAACCCGGAUUAAUACCCGAUGAUGUCGUAAGACCAAAGCCGCAAGGCGCCUUUGGAGUGGGGAAUGUCCUAUCAGGUAGUUGGUGAGGUAACGGCUCACCAAGCCGUAGACGGGUAGCGGGUGUGAGAGCACGGCCCGCCGCAUCGGGACUGAGACACUGCCCGGACUCCUACGGGAGGCUGCAGUAACGAAUCUUCCACAAUGGGCGAAAGCCUGAUGGAGCAAUGCCGCGUGCAGGAUGAAGCCCUUCGGGGUGUAAACUGCUGUCAGGGGUCACCAACACAAUGAGGAGCCCCAAAGGAAGGGCCGGCUAACUCUGUGCCAGCAGCCGCGGUAAUACAGAGGGCCCGAGCGUUGCGCGGAAUCACUGGGCUUAAAGCGUGCGUAGGCGGAUCGUUAAGCGUUUUGUGAAAUCCCACGGCUCAACCGUGGAAUUGCAGGGCGAACUGGCGAUCUUGAGGUCGGUAGGGGUCGUUGGAACGCUAGGUGGAGCGGUGAAAUGCGUAGAUAUCUAGCGGAACACCGAAGGUGAAGACAGGCGACUAGGCCGAUUCUGACGCUGAGGCACGAAAGCGUGGGGAGCGAACGGGAUUAGAUACCCCGGUAGUCCACGCCCUAAACGAUGUGCACUAGGUCGUGGGAGUUCUGACACUCUCUCGAUCGAAGAGAAAUUACUUAGUGCACCGCCUGGGGAGUACGGUCGCAAGGCUAAAACUCAAAGGAAUUGACGGGGGCUCACACAAGCGGUGGAGCAUGUGGCUCAAUUCGAAGCAACGCGAAGAACCUUAUCCUGGGCUUGACAUGCAUGGAUUAGUCCGGUGAAAGCCGGGUGACACCCGCAAGGGUGGAACAUGCACAGGUGCUGCAUGGCUGUCGUCAGCUCGUGCUGUGAAGUGUCGGGUUAAGUCCCUUAACGAGCGCAACCCCUGUCGUUAGUUGCCAGCGCGCCUUCGGGUGGCGGGGACUCUAGCGAGACUGCCGGUGUCAAACCGGAGGAAGGUGGGGAUGACGUCAAGUCCGCAUGGCCUUUAUGCCCAGGGCUGCACACGUGCUACAAUGGCGCGCACAGAACGAAGCAAGAGCGCAAGCUGGAGCAAAUCGCUCAAAUCGCGCCCCAGUUCGGAUUGAGGGCUGCAACCCGCCCUCAUGAAGUCGGAAUCGCUAGUAAUCGCGGAUCAGCUACGCCGCGGUGAAUACGUUCCUGAGCCUUGCA